rnacentral:rRNA from 1 species
CUACGGGAUGCAGCAGUCGAGAAUCUUCCGCAAUGCGCGAAAGCGUGACGGAGCAAUGCCGCGUGGUGGAUGAAGGCCUUCGGGUUGUAAACACCUGUCACAUGGGACGAACUUUGACGGUACCAUGAGAGGAAGCCACGGCUAACUACGUGCCAGCAGCCGCGGUAAUACGUAGGUGGCGAGCGUUGUUCGGAUUUAUUGGGCGUAAAGGGUCCGCAGGGGGUUUGUUAAGUCUGAUGUGAAAUCCCGGGGCUCAACCCCGGAACUGCAUUGGAGACUGAUGAACUAGAGUAUCGGAGAGGUAAAUGGAAUUCCUGGUGUAGCGGUGGAAUGCGUAGAUAUCAGGAAGAACACCGAGAGCGAAGGCAAUUUACUGGACGAUUACUGACCCUCAGGGACGAAAGCGUGGGUAGCGAACAGGAUUAGAUACCCUGGUAGUC